rnacentral:lncRNA from 1 species
AAGCUUGUUGGCUGGGGUGGGGUGCUGGUGCAAAGCCUCCCAUUUUGCCUUGAGGACCAUAGCAAAUACCUCCUUUCUGGAUGGACAAGGGAGACCCUUGUCAGCAAGAAUUGUGCUACAGUCUCCCAGCCUAACCACAAGGACACACAAGGACUAGAACAUUCGCUCUGCUUCUACACAGCAUUGGCAAGAGUUUGAACACCUCUUUCUCAAACCAACAGCAAGAGUUGCCCAGGAAGUGCAUUCACUAACAUACUCCCCUAAAUAUUCUUGUGUGAAAAGAAGAGAUAUGUUGCCAUGAAUGGGUCUUUCAGUUGGUAUUUGUAGGACUGCAAAGUUGCAAAGCUGGCAACAUGGUAAUAGCUUAGAGUGUUAAAUUUUGUGAUUUACUACUUGAUAUGGUAGCACAAAAUUAGAACUACAAGAAGAAUAAAGGCUUGGUCACCUUACCUGUAAGAUCUACUAAUGACAAUAACUUUAUAGAGAAAAUUGCUCCUCUUUAAGCAAUGCCUCAUCUGACUUGAUGCUCUCUGCUGCAGAAGGUGAAAUUGCAACAAUUACAAACUUGAUCUUGGCUGUGACCCCUGAAUUGACCUUUUGAAGGAACCUGGAUUAUGUCUGAAUCUAUUAUCUCUGCAAGGAGACCAGCUGUCUUCAGAAUUGCUUUUGGGGCCCCGUAAUGUCAUCGUGAAAUUGCAGACAUCCAAUCUGUCGGGAAAUGCUGUUGGCUCUCCAUCUGGAAUAUAUUCAGAGUUGAAGACUUUUCACCACCUCUUCUAAUAUCACCCUUGGCUCUCCAUAGAAAUCUCAAGGACACAACUUUUCCCCCCAUCUUGUGGAAGGAUGACAUUUUCUGAUAUUUGCUUCAAACUCUGAGUGAGACCCUAUGCAGGUCCCACAGGUUAUUUUAAUCUAUCUUCCUCACUGACACAAGUUCUAUUGGGGCUGAGACCAGAGAAGACAAUGUGAGACCCUGCAUCCAACAGUAUUCCUUUUAGAAACUAUGCCCAGACUGAGUGGGUGCAUUUUUGUUCUAAUACUUUUUCUCUUCUGUAGUUUACACAGUAGGAGAUAAUCUUUGAUAUGGCAACUAUGUCAUUCCCCUCAGUGUGCCCAACAACUCACAUCUCAUAGCUGCAAUAGGUCAGAGACAAAUUCCAUUAUGGAGUAAGGAGACAGUCUUCUAAAGGUGCAUUGCAUGUAGUGAGGUAUAGACAUAGCAAGCAAUGAAUGUUACAUCCCAGGAGCAGAGUCUGAGAGAAGACGGGUAGUCGUAAAUCCUGAAAUUACAACAAUUCCAUGUAAUUCAUCAGCUUCUGAGUAUCUCUCAAGUGACAUUUAUUAGUAGAAAGCUUUGUAGAACAGAGCGGUAUGCUGGCUAGCCAAGUUGAUUGCACUUCGAGGGUGAGUGGAUUCCUGAAUCCCCUAUUUAGAUAUAGGGCUAGAACAAGAUUGAGGAGCCAGUGUGAAUAUUUUCAUCUGGCAUUUCUUUUCUCUACUGAGUGAAUUCCUUUCUCCAACUCCCAGAACAUUGUUCAAUGAGGUAAUAAAAACUACAAUUCCAGAAAUUGUAGUUGGAUACUACUUUGAUAAUAAUAUCAUUUGAAUCUUAGCCUUUAUUUACAACACUUCAUUUAUAGGCACUAUAGUUCCCAGAAUGCACCAGCAACGUCAGUUUCCUUUACCCCACAAUUUUGCUUCAAUAUUUUUUUGGAAUUUGCAUUUUUUACCCAUAUGUUAAAAAUACCUGUCUGGAUGAAGGAAAAUUGAAUCUGUGUUCAGCCUAUAUUACAAAGCACCAUUUUCUGUACUAAGGGUUGGACUGUAUCCCAGAUUUCUAGUUGGACUCAUGUCUGAAUCAAGCAGCAAAUGGUUAAGAAGGCACUCAUUUUUUUCCCCUACGGUUUUGAAGUUGGUCUAUUUUUCAUACAGUUAAAGUGGGGUUUUCCUUUGACAGAAGCCUUAGUAGGAUUUUCUCAAGUCAGUUUUCUCUACGUCAAAGUUAGAAUCUAUUAUUCCCAGAGUCUAGCAUUGGUGUAUGUGACUUUAUUUAGAUGACUGUAUUUUCAUGUUUUCCCCAUGCUCUCAUCUGUCUUCAAGGCUGUUUAUCAUUUCUCCUUAUUUUAAACCACAUGCCUCAAAUGCUUUUUGCUCCUACUCUUUCUCCUGCUUUGCUGGAGAGAAAGCAUGCCUGACUUUGUCAUGGUGGAAAUAUCAUAAUUCUUGCAGUUUAUGUGAACUGUGAUUAUUAGCGAUUGAAAUGUUGCUAUGCUUAGGAAGAUAGUAAAGGUAGAGUGAGAUCCUCUCAAAAACAAGACAAAAUGAAGGAUUGUUAGGGCCAUUCUUCACCAGUAAGGAUCAUGUAGUGCAUUCUCCAUCAUCUAGGGCCAUUCUGAGGACUGUAAUGAUACUGAAGGGUGACAUGACAUGCAUCUUUAUCUGCCCCCUAAAUGGAGAGAUGGGGUCUGGCAAAGCAGGUGUCAUUCAGGCUUUUCCCCUCAAUGCUCAGAUGCCCAUGUAAGGUUGGGAAAGGCUAUCACAGCCCUGUGGGUAGAAGGUGAAGAGAAGAUGGGACAUGGACUGUGAGGAUAAGAAGGACAUGGGGUGGUGGAGAGAGGAGGGAGUGCUAGGUGUGGGUGGGGAGGAGCUUGCAUUAAUGGAAAGCGGGUGGGAGGACUGGAAGGGGCCUCAGGAUAGAGAGGGGGAAUGGUGUGAGAAUGGAGGGGGAGCCUGGAGAGAAGGGGACUCAUGAACGGAACUGACCAUAAGGAAGCUUCAUAAAUUAAAGACAUAAUCAAUAGACAGGCAACAUGGGGAGAUAAAAAGGUAUUGAUAGCUUGAAAGAUAAAAGGAAAUUUUAAUUACACUGUGAUUGAUAAAAUACGAUGAAAAGUAGUUCUUUGGCUGCUCCUUGACACUGUUCCCUGUUUGGAAGUUCUGAGG